rnacentral:tRNA from 1 species
GGUUCGGUCGCACAGCCUGGUAGUGCAAAGGACUCUUAAUCCUUGAGAACGUGGGUUCGAAUCCCACCCGAAUCAC